rnacentral:rRNA from 1 species
GAGUUUGAUCUUGGCUCAGAACGAACGCUGGCGGCGUGGAUAAGACAUGCAAGUCGAACGGGAGAAUUGCUAGCUUGCUAAUAAUUCUCUAGUGGCGCACGGGUGAGUAACACGUGAGUAACCUGCCCCCGAGAGCGGGGUAGCCCUGGGAAACUGGGAUUAAUACCGCAUAGUAUCGAAAGAUUAAAGCAGCAAUGCGCUUGGGGAUGGGCUCGCGGCCUAUUAGUUAGUUGGUGAGGUAACGGCUCACCAAGGCGAUGACGGGUAGCCGGUCUGAGAGGAUGUCCGGCCACACUGGAACUGAGACACGGUCCAGACACCUACGGGUGGCAGCAGUCGAGAAUCAUUCACAAUGGGGGAAACCCUGAUGGUGCGACGCCGCGUGGGGGAAUGAAGGUCUUCGGAUUGUAAACCCCUGUCAUGUGGGAGCAAAUUAAAAAGAUAGUACCACAAGAGGAAGAGACGGCUAACUCUGUGCCAGCAGCAGCCGCAGUAAC